UACGUAGGGACCAAGCGUUGUUCGGAUUUACUGGGCGUAAAGGGCGCGUAGGCGGCUUAACAAGUCACUUGUGAAAUCUCCGGGCUUAACUCGGAACGGCCAAGUGAAACCUGUCAAGCUAGAGUGCAGAAGGGGCAAUCGGAAUUCUUGGUGUAGCGGUGAAAUGCGUAGAGUAUCAAGAGGAACACCUGAGGUGAAGACGGGUUGCUGGGCUGACACUGACGCUGAGGCGCGAAAGCCAGGGAGCAAACGGG
rnacentral:rRNA from 1 species